GUGAGGAAGUCGCGUGACGUUGGAGCUGCGUGGGCGUUGCUGCCGCUACCGCCGCCAACAGGCCUGGAAGGUUCGGCUCCGCUUGAUAAGCGCUAACCUGGCUUUGCGCAUGCGCUCUUCUCGGCAAGAGGGCCGUGCGGUGCACUGUUUUCUCCUCGGCCCGGCCUGAGCUGUUCCCCAAACAGCACAGUGGCUCUCCUGCCUGCUUUCCUUUGGAACAGACAGUCCCCAUGCCUGGAACGUCACACCUGUACCUCCCAGAAUCCUAGCUUCUCAAGACCCAGACCGGGCGUCCCCGUAUCUGAUGUUUUCUACCCCUCGGCUAUUUAUUCAUGACAGGCAAGCGCUUCAGGGAUAGUGCUGCCACAGGGCCCUGAGAAGUGAAACCUGAAACAAGAAUAAAGAAUACUGAAAUUAAACAUGGUCUACCAAAAUGAAAUCAUGUAUUUCUUCAAAAUAAUUUUUAUUAUAGCAUUUGGGGUUAGAUCUGUGAUUUCACCAGUAUAAGAAAACUCCCUCCACCAAUGUAGAGCACCAUCUUUUCUGCAACUUCGGUAUAGUCUUAGAAAGUGCCCAUAUUCAAUAUUCAGAUAUUCAAACAUGACUAUUAUACCCUCUCCCCUCCCCCCAAAAGAAGCACAGGGGACAGAGACCAAGUUUGGGAAUGGGAAGCCUCACUUGUUCUGACACAUCCUCAGCAUCCUAGGCAAGUCACUUAA